rnacentral:rRNA from 1 species
CAGCAGCCGCGGUAAAACGGAGGGUGCGAGCGUUAAUCGGAAUUACUGGGCGUAAAGCGUGCGCAGGCGGUUCGUUAAGACAGAUGUGAAAUCCCCGGGCUUAACCUGGGAACUGCAUUUGUGACUGACGGGCUAGAGUAUGGCAGAGGGGGGUAGAAUUCCACGUGUAGCAGUGAAAUGCGUAGAGAUGUGGAGGAAUACCGAUGGCGAAGGCAGCCCCCUGGGCCAAUACUGACGCUCAUGCACGAAAGCGUGGGGAGCAAACAGGAUUAGAUACCCGAGUAGUCCCUGUCUCUUAUAC